rnacentral:rRNA from 2 species
UGGGGAAUAUUGGACAAUGGGCGCAAGCCUGAUCCAGCCAUGCCGCGUGUGUGAAGAAGGCCUUUUGGUUGUAAAGCACUUUAAGCGAGGAGGAGGCUACUUGGAUUAAUACUCUAGGAUAGUGGACGUUACUCGCAGAAUAAGCACCGGCUAACUCUGUGCCAGCAGCCGCGGUAAUACAGAGGGUGCGAGCGUUAAUCGGAUUUACUGGGCGUAAAGCGUGCGUAGGCGGCUUCUUAAGUCGGAUGUGAAAUCCCUGAGCUUAACUUAGGAAUUGCAUUCGAUACUGGGAAGCUAGAGUAUGGGAGAGGAUGGUAGAAUUCCAGGUGUAGCGGUGAAAUGCGUAGAGAUCUGGAGGAAUACCGAUGGCGAAGGCAGCCAUCUGGCCUAAUACUGACGCUGAGGUAUGAAAGCAUGGGGAGCAAACAGG